GAUGAACGCUGGCGGCGUGCCUAAUACAUGCAAGUCGAGCGAACAGAUGAGGAGCUUGCUCCUCUGACGUUAGCGGCGGACGGGUGAGUAACACGUGGAUAACCUACCUAUAAGACUGGGAUAACUUCGGGAAACCGGAGCUAAUACCGGAUAAUAUAUUGAACCGCAUGGUUCAAUAGUGAAAGACGGUUUUGCUGUCACUUAUAGAUGGAUCCGCGCCGCAUUAGCUAGUUGGUAAGGUAACGGCUUACCAAGGCAACGAUGCGUAGCCGACCUGAGAGGGUGAUCGGCCACAAUGGAACUGGAACACGGUCCAGACUCCUACGGGAGGCAGCAGGAGGGAAUCUUCAGCAAUGGGCGAAAGCCUGACGGAGCAACGCCGCGUGAGUGAUGAAGGUCUUCGGAUCGUAAAACUCUGUUAUUAGGGAAGAACAAAUGUGUAAGUAACUAUGCACGUCUUGACGGUACCUAAUCAGAAAGCCACGGCUAACUACGUG
rnacentral:rRNA from 1 species